AAGAUCAAGAACAAAGGCAAAUACCAAGACAUUCAAGAUCAAGUUACUUGUUUAUACUCAUUAUUCGUCAUAACCAUACAAGUGCCCGUGACGAAUAAUUCAAAUCCAAGUUUGAAGACUAAGAUUCAAGAUCAAGCUAUUCAAGCCCUUGACUCUAAAUCAAAUUCAAGUCCUACAUAUUUCAUAUUAUUUUGAAGAAUCAAAGGAUUAUCAUAGAUAUUGUAACACGUACUACAUUUUGAAAUCAAAUACUACACUUUGUUACUCCAAUUUUCUUGUUUUGAUUAUUUAUUUUUCUCAGCUCGAAAAUUUGUUGUUUACAGAAUUAUAUUAGGAUACACUUUAUUUACUAAAAUAUUGACAUUUUGACAAUUAUGUUAAAGUGAAGAUGUUUUUAAUAAUUAUGUUAGAAAUUUUGACUAGUAAGCUAAUUUAUCCUUUUAUUAGAAAUGGAU
rnacentral:lncRNA from 1 species